CUAAAAUCCAGGUGGUCUAGGCCU
rnacentral:siRNA from 1 species